rnacentral:rRNA from 1 species
AUUGAACGCUGGCGGCAGGCUUAACACAUGCCAGUCGAGCGAGCGGCGGACGGGUGUGUAAUGUCUGGGAAACUGCCUGAUGGAGGGAGAUGUCUACUGGAAACGGUCGCUAAUACCGCAUCCCAUCAGAUGUGCCCCGAUGGGAUUAGCUAGUAGGUGGGGUAAUGGCUCACCUAGGCGACGAUCACUAGCUGGUCUGAGAGGAUGACCAGCCACAAUGGAAGGGAGACACGGUCCAGACACCUACGGGAGGCAGCAGUGGGGAAUAUUGCACAAUGGGCGCAAGCCUGAUGCAGCCAGGCGGAGUGUGUGAAGAAGGCCUGAGGGUUGUAAAGUACUUUCAGCGGGGAGGGGUUAUCCGCAGAAGAAGUACCGGAUAACUCCGGGCGAGCAGCCGCGGUAAUAC